rnacentral:rRNA from 1 species
GACAGAGGGUGCAAACGUUGCUCGGAUUUACUGGGCGUAAAGCGCGUGUAGGCUGAUUGGUAAGUCAGAUGUGAAAUCCCUGGGCUCAACCCAGGAACUGCAUCUGAAACUGCCAGUCUUGAGUGGUGGAGAGGGUCGUGGAAUUCCUGGUGUAGAGGUGAAAUUCGUAGAUAUCAGGAGGAACACCGGUGGCGAAGGCGGCGACCUGGACACUAACUGACGCUGAGACGCGAAAGCGUGGGGAGCAAACAGG